GUGCUUGCUUCAGCAACACAUAGACUAAAAAUUGGAAUGAUACAGGGAAAAUUAGCAUGGCCCUUGCACAAGGAUGUUAUGGUAAAGCCUACCAUCCAAGCCACUUUA